rnacentral:tRNA from 2 species
GGGACUUUGGCCGAGUGGUCUAAGGCGUUCGACUCAAGAUCGAAUACGGUAACGUUCGGGGGUUCGAAUCCCCCAGGUCCCA